CCUACGGGUGGCAGCAGUGGGGAAUAUUGCACAAUGGGGGAAACCCUGAUGCAGCGACGCCGCGUGAAGGAAGAAGUAUCUCGGUAUGUAAACUUCUAUCAGCAGGGAAGAAAAUGAUGGUACCUGACCAAGAAGCCCCGGCUAACUACGUGCCAGCAGCCGCGGUAAUACGUAGGGGGCAAGCGUUAUCCGGAUUUACUGGGUGUAAAGGGAGCGUAGACGGAAGAGCAAGUCUGAUGUGAAAGGCGGGGGCUUAACCCCAGGACUGCAUUGGAAACUGUUUUUCUAGAGUGCCGGAGAGGUGAGCAGAAUUCCUGGUGUAGCGGUGAAAUGCGUAGAUAUUAGGAGGAACACCAGUGGCGAAGGCGGCUUACUGGACGGUAACUGACGUUGAGGCUCGAAAGCGUGGGGAGCAAACAGGAUUAGAUACCCGUGUAGUC
rnacentral:rRNA from 1 species